rnacentral:lncRNA from 1 species
CACUUUCUGGGCAGUUUUGAGUACCUAACACUAAUUUGGACGAAAUUGGACUAAAACUUGACUCAAGACACUUAGAAACACAAACUAAAUUGAUUUCUAACUAAUCUAACACUUUAAAAUAAAUGGGGGAUUGAUUUUGACGAAAUUGAAAUUAAAACAGAGACUUGUAAACAAACUUCAAACAAAACAGAUUGUGAUGAAAUAGAAUGGUGAGAAACUAGUUAGAGGGUUCCUUAUCCACACAUGAACAUAUGCAUAUAAUUUGAUUCCCAGUUAUGACUUCAACAAACAAUGAAUGACAAUGCUCCAAGUUAAUUAGGUUCGCUUAAAUUAACUUUCAGAUUUCCCUAGAUUCAUUGGAUUGAAUGGGAUACGCAUUAAAACCAAAUUAUUCCUCAUCAAAGUCCCUAACUAUGGAAUACGCAUGAUAGAGAUAUUCAACAAAGAUCAUUAAGUUCAACGGAAAUCAUGAACAUCAACUAGGCAUUCAUAACUAUGGAAUACGCAUGUUAAUCCAGCCUAGGGUUUACUUAAACACAAUCGUGACUAGCGAUCUUUACUACUUAUGAAUAUAAGUUCAUAACGAUUAGGUGAAAUUCCCUUAUAUCCUAGCAUCAAGUUUAGGCAUGCAAAUUAAGUGUCGACCCUCAACCCACAUACAUAGACAAGUUCUUAAUCAAAACAGAAAAGUAAACCACAUCUAAAGUUCAUGAAUUCAUAACUGGAGUAAAUCAAAUCAUAACCAACGUAUGUCCAUGGCUUCAAAUUCGCCUCUAACUAAAAAGAAAUUAGUUCCACAUGUUUAACAUAAUUGAAAAGCAAAUUAAAUUAAACAUGAAAACAGAAACAAGAGAGAAAGAACUCCAAACACUCCACUAAUGGCAGAUUGCAUGUGCAAGGUUUCUCCCUCCUUUGGACUGCACGGCACUACUUCUUUCUCCUUCAAUGGUGGCUGCACGAGGUGGUGAUGGUGGUGGAAAGGUGCGGCUGUGGUGGAUGAAUGGUUAUUUGAAUAGGGUAGAAGGGUUAAGGGGAUUAGGGGGCACGGCAGAGACUUAGAACUAGGGAGAAUGAUGUGGUGGUUGCGGCAAGGCUUAGGGUAGAUUUCUGGAGAGAAUGGAUGAUAUGGGAGGUGGUGUUUUUGGCCAAAAGCUUUAAAGGAGUAUAUAUAGGCACUUAAAAACCCUAGCAAUCAGAUUAGGGUUUCUAGAAGCCCACAUCCAACAGAAAAUAGGUUAAAACAAUCAGAUUUUGCAUGGGAAAAGGCCUAGGGUUCGGCUGGUUUAGUGGGCUAAGGUUAAGGCUUCUAGAAUGCCUUGCAAGGCAAGGAAAUCAGGUAUUUAAAACCCUAGGUGUGGCAUAGGAUUAGGGAGAUCAGAUUUGGAAAUGGGCUAGGGUUUAGGUGCGGCAUAUGGUGAAUAUCCACAAAGAAUUAGGGCUUAGGUCCACUUAGUUUUAGACAGGGAUUUGUAUAACUCAAAUCCACAACUAAAGGCCCUAAUAAGUCAGAAAUUAAGAGAGAAUGGCUAGGAAGUGCGGCUCAAGUCCAAGAGGUAAGGAUAGGUCAUCCAAAAGCCCAACGCCAAGAAUAGAACUCACAAAUACGGAAACCUCCAAGAAUAGAAGCUUCCAACAUUAGAAACUUUGGUUUCCAAUUCCGACUUCUUUGUUCUUCACUUUCAUUUCUUCAUUUCUUAAGCUCCUUUGACCUUCAAACUCGUCCAUUCCUUGUGCUCCAAAAGCCUACACUUCAUUCCAGCUCAAUUUUGCUCCAAAUGCUCCGAAUUGCAUCAUUUUUUGUAAUGUGCCCUUUAAACCUGAAAACACAUGAAAGUAGCUCAAAAGACUACUUUAACAAAGAAAACAUAACGAAAAUGCAUAAGAACUAGCUAACUAAGGUGCAUAAAUAUGCUCCUAUCACCGGGGAUUAGGAGGGAUUGCUAAAUCACUUGAAAACUGACUCAAAUACGUAAAAACAAGUUUAAAACACUAAACUAGACUCAAAGAAUGCAAAACUAAACUUUAAAACACCAAAACAAACAAAAAGACUCAAAACAGCAAACAAAUACUCAAAACUGCCUUAAAACACUUUCUGGGCAGUUUCUGACACUCAGGACGAAUUUGGACGAAAAUUGAUUAUAACUUGACUCAAGACACUUAAAAACACAAACUAAAUUGAUUUCUAACUAGUAUGACUCAACAAAGAAAAGGGGGAUUGAUUUUGGACGAAUUUAAAAACAAAACAAAACUUUGUAAACUAAAACAGAUUUUAAAACGAAUUCGGAUGAUUUGAAUGGAUGGAAGGCUAGCUAAGGGGUUCAUCUCCACACAUGUCACAUUUGCAUAUAAAACGAUUUCCAAUUGCUUUUCAAUAAACCAUGAAUUCUCAACGCCCCAAGUUAAUUAGGUCCGCUUAAAUUAACCCUCAGAUUUUCCUUAAGUUAUUGAAUUGGAUGAAUUGCAUACGACAACCCAAAGCAUUCCCCACAAGUCCCCUACAUGAUUGCAUAAUAGAGAUACAAGCAAGAAUCAUUAAGUUCUAUGAAAACCAUAAGCAUUGACGAAGCACUUGUUACUAUGAUUGCAUGAAACUUAUGCCAAUAAUUUACUUAACACGAUUGUGAUCAACAACCUUUACUACUUGUGAAUUUAAGUUCAUAACGAUUAGGUGAAAUUCCCUUAUAUCCUAGCAUCAAAGUCAUGCAUGCAAACUAAGUGUCGACCCUCAAUCAACAUACAAGAAUAAGUUUUAAUUCACAUAGAUAAGCAAAUUGAACUCACAACUUAUGAAACGCAAUUAGAAGUAAUCAAAUCAUAUAGCAAGCAUAAACAUGGUUUCGAAUCCCCCCCUAGCCAAGGGGGUUUAGUUCCUCAUACUCGCAAAUAAACAAAGAUAAAUAAAUUUAAACAUUAAAACAAAGAUAGAAAACACCUAGAAACGCUCCACAAUCCAAGCUCCUUGAAUGGCAUGCACGGCUCCAAGAGUUCUUCCUUCUUCUCCUUUGCAAACUCACGGCACAAGAGGUAUAUUUGGGUGAAUGGUGUAGUGAAAAUAUGGUAGAGGAUGGUGACUAAAUGGUGCAGCAAAGGAUGGUAUUUAUAGGCUGAAAUUCGCAGCCCCUAUGUAGCAAAGGAAAAGGAUUUAAAAGCCUAAUUUGUAUAGGAUAAUAACACACAAUCCUUGAAGGAAAAGGCUAAGGCUUUUAGAAACCAAGGGGGAAAGGAAUAAUCAGGUUUCUAGAAAGGUUUGGGGCGUCACUUUUGUAGGACAAGGGAUAAGGCCUUCUAGAAAGGUUGUUUUGUGGCUGAUUUCUAGAAAAAAACAAGGGAUAAGGUGUGGCACCUUUGUAGGAGUGGAUAAGGGCUUCUAGAAACCAAUUUUAAUGUGUCCUAAUCUGAAAAUAAAUCCCCCAUGCAGCUGGAAUUAAAUUAGGAUAGGAUUAGGAUAGGAUAAGAUAAGAUAGGAUUGGAUAGGAUAGGGUUUGGAUAAUGUUUUGGAUAAGGUUUCUUCACUUGAGCUGAUUCUUUGGCUUCAACUUCCCUUCUUCAUGUAGGAAACCUUGUUUGAGUAGGAAACUUCAAUCUUCUAGGAAUCCAACUUCAACUAGGAAUCCAUCUUCAACUAGGAUUUCAUCUUCAAUUAAGCACUUUCCCACUUCAAUUAGGAAUCUUUGUAUCUUCAAUUCUUCAACUUCAAAACACAUUCCUAGCUUCAUCAAUCCUUCAAAUUCGUCCAUCCCUUGUGCUUCAUGUGCAUGAACUCCAUUCUAGCCCAAUUUUGCUCCAAAAUGCUCCAAAUUGCAUCCUUUUGCUCACUUUGUCUCUAAAACCUGAAAACACAUGAAAAUAGCUUAAAAGACUACUUUAACUAAGAAAACACAACAUAAAUGCAUAAGAACUAGCUAACUCAGGUGCAUAAAUAUGCUCCUAUCACUUUGACAUAGUCAAAGAUCAAGGGCCUAACCACAAGACAACUAUGAUGCCUUAGGUCAAAGGACUACUUUGCAUUAUCCUAACCAUGAGUUCUCAUGUGACAUGAGUAUGAGAACUCCUCGUUGAUCGUGUUCAGUGGACUCAUUCUCCAUUGAGCACCUACAUGCUUGUCUUGGUGUCAAUCACACCAAUGACUCGAGACUAGUCACUCUCCCUGAGAGAAACACAGCACGUACUGAUUUUAAUGGACUGUCAAUGCCCAAUUGGCAAUCCUAUGAUCAGGAACGUUUAGGAUAUGUAUACGAAAGAGAAUGGUCUCAUGAAUCUAACUUCUUUAAAUUACAUUCUCCUAAUUACAUAUUCCUUGGACUUAUUGUUUAAGCAUAUAACAUUUAUAUGAGACGGCUUAAAACAAUAAUCUUUGCCCUUGAUAUUAAACUAGAUUAGUUUAACAUGUAAAAUGUCCAUAAAGUAUCAUUAUAUGAUUGGUUUUAGGGCACAUUUCCAACACUAUCCUUUCCCUACAUUCAUGCCGCACCCUUAUCCUUCUAGAACCCUAAAUUGGUGACGUGAUCACCCUUUCUAGAAGACAUUAAAUAUAUGGCGCUUCUUCCUUUUCUAGAAGCCCUAGAAUCUGCUGGAAACCUCAAACCUUUUCAUCUUUGGUUUCUGCCAAACUUAGUCCUUUUCCUCAAGGAUUGUUCAAUCCUAAUCCUUAGGGAUUAUGCUGUGAGUUUGCCCUAUAAAUAUAUAUAUAUGCCGCACAAAUCAAUUAACCAACCCUCCCAAAUCAUUCUAAAAUCCUUUCAGCCCCAGAAACCACCAUUCUAUAACCUGUGCCUCAACUUUGGAGAAGAAGAUAUCCUUGCCGUGCAUUCCGUUGGAGAAGGAGGAACUUGUGCACAUGCCACCUGCAUCCUUGGGAGUUCUAAGAGUUCUUUCUUCCCUCGUUUUAGUUUCAAUGUUUAUUUCAAUUUGCUUUUCAAAUGCUAUGAACAUGUGUAACUAAGUUUUUCUUAGUUAGAGGUGAAUACAAAGCCAUGGAUAUAUGUUUAAUAUGAAUUGAUUCCCUUCAGUUAUUGUUUCAUAAAACAUGAAUGUGAUUUACUUAUCUAUUUGAUUGAUAACUUAUUCUUGUAUGUUGAUUAAGGAUGCAUACUUAGUUUACCUACAUGAAUCUGAUGCUAAAUUAUAAAGGACUUUCACCUAAUCGUUAGGAACUUAUAAUUACAAGUAGUAGAGAUUGUUAGUCACAAUCGUGUUAAGUUGAUUCUUGGCAAGAGUAUCAUGCAGUUCAUAGUUAUAAUUGUCUUGUCAAUGCUUAUGGUUUCCAUGGAACUUAAUGAUCUUCGAAUGUAUCCCUACCAUGCUGUUCAUAUAGGGAACUUGAGAAGAAUAAUUUGGUUGUGAUGCGUUGUCCAUUCAAUUCAAAGAAUUUAGGGAAAUCUGAGAGUUAAUUUGUGCAUUCACGAUUAAUUUGGGGCAUUGUCGUUCAUGGUUUAAAGAAACAAUACAGAAAUUGAUUUAUGUUGCAUAUGUUCAUGUGUGGAGAAGGACCCUCUAACUAGCCUAUUACACCAUUCAAUUCACCCAAUUUCAUAUCUAGUUUACUUUGGUUUGCAAUCUGUUUAGUUUUACUUCAAUUUCGUCAAAACGACCCCCUUUAAAACACCAAAAUUAUGUUGACACUCAAAUUAAACCCUCUUUUUAUCAAUUGUAGCAAUGUAUGUAAGUAGGGAUCGUUCUAGACCGGGGAUUAGGAGGGAUUGCAAAAUCACUUGGACAGGACUCAAAAACGUAAAACAAGUUUUAAACACUAAAAUAGACUCAAAGAAUGCAAAACUAAACUUUAAAACACCAAAACAAACCAAAAGACUCAAAACAGCACCAAAACACUCAAAACUGCCUUAAAAACACAAUCUGGGCAGUUUUGGACACUAAGCACCAAAUUGGACGAAUUUGGGUUUUAACUUGAAUCAAAACACUUAAAAACACAAAGUAAAACACUUACUAACUAAUUUGACACUUUAAAACAAAGGGGGAUUGGUUUUGGACGAAUUUAAAAACAAAACAAACUUUGUAAAUUAGAACAGAUUGAAAGAACGAAUUUGAUUUAAAUGGGUGAAUGGAAGGCUAGCUAAGGGGUUCAUCUCCACACAUGUUAUACUUGCAUACGAAACGAUUUCCAAUUGCUUUUCAAUAAACCAUGAAUUCUCAAUGCCCCAAGUUAAUUAGGUCCGCUUAAAUUAACCUUCAGAUUUUCCUAACGUUAUUGAAUUGGAUGAUUGCAUACGACAACCCAAAACAUUCCCCACAAGUCCCCUACAUGAUUGCAUAAUAGAGAUACAAGCAAGAAUCAUUAAGUUCUAUGAAAACCAUAAGCAUUGACGAAGCACUUGUUACUAUGAUUGCAUGAAACUUAUGCCAAGAAUUUACUUAACGCGAUUGAGAUCAUCAACCUUUACUACUUGUGAAUAUAAUUCCAUAACGAUUAGGUGAAAUUUCCUUAUAUCCUAGCAUUCAAUUUAUGCAUGAUAAUUAAGCGUGCACUCUCAACCAACACACACAAAUCAAUGUAAUCCACAUAGAUAAGUAAAUUGAAUUCACAACUUAUGAAACGCAAUUAGAAGUAAUCAAAUCAUAACGCAAGCAUAAACAUGUAUUCGAAUCCCCCCUAGCCAAGGGGGGGUUUAGUUCCUCAUAUGCACAAAACAAAGAGAAUUGAAUUUAAACAUUGAAAUCAAAGGAAAAGAAACACCUAGAAAUUCCAGCAGCUUCAACUUGAAUUUCAUGAACUCCCAAGCAUUCUUCUCAUCCUCCUUGGUGCGGCAAAGGACUUAGGGACAGGUUUAGGGCCUUAUGGAUGGUGUAGAACGAUUAUGGAUGGAUGUAUGAGUGUUUAGGGAGGAAGGAUGGUGCGGCAAAGGUGUAGAAUGGUGUAGGGAGGCUGCUGCAAGAGUGGAGAGCAGUUUGGACGAAUUUCUGGAGUUGUUUGUGAAUUGUGGUGAGUUGUCUUCUGAUUUAGGGGUUAAUAGGAGUAUAUAUAGGCACUUAAAACCCUAGGGUAAUCAGAUAUGGACUUGGAUAACCCAAAUCCACAAGGAAAUAGGUCUAACAAUCAGAUUUUGCAAGGGAAAAGGGGUCCUAGGUGCGGCUGGAUAGGAAUAAGGUGGAUAAGGCUUCUAGAUGGCCUUGCAAGGCAAGGAAAUCAGGUUUCUAGAAGGGAUAGGUGCGGCACUUAAAGGAUAGGGCAGAUUAGGGCUUCUAGAAACCCUCUAAUGCAAGGAAAACUCACGGCAAGGAUGGAUAAGGUUUCUAGAACAAGGAUAAGGUAUCUUAAAUGGAUAAGGACUCCUCAUUGCAUUUGGAAACUUUGCCUAUUAGGAUUAGGAAACCUUGUCUUUGUCAUUCCUUCUUCAUUCUGGAUUCCUUCUCCUUCUUGGACUUGGAAAUCUUCUUUGUAGCUACAACUUGAUGCCAUUUGGAUUUAACUUUCCUACUUCAAGUAGGAAACCUUGUUUGAGUAGGAAUCUUCAUCCUCAAGGAAUCCUAAUUCAACUAGGAAACCCAUUUUGACUAGGAAUCCUAAUUCAACUAGGAUUCCAUCUUCACUUAGGCGCUUUCCUACUUCGACUAGGAAACCUUGUUCAAGUAGGAAAAAUCAUCUUCAAAUCUUCAAUUUCGUCCAUCCUCUUGGCUCCAAGCAUAUGACAUCCAUUCCAAGCUCAACUUUGCUCCAAAAAGCUCCAAAAUGCAUCCUUUUGCAUACUUUGCCCUUAGAACCUGAAAACACAUAAAACUAGCUUAAAAGACUACUUAACUAAGGAAAAACACUAUAAAUGCACAAGAACGAGCUAAACUAAGGCGCAUAAAUAUGCUCCUAUCAGUUAAUAUAGGUUAGAAUUAGUCCAUAAACAUUGUUUGAGUCUUAAUUAGUCUUAAAUUCGUCCAAAUAACUCCCUAGCGUCUGUUUUGAGUCUAAUUGUUAGUAUGGUGCUGUUUUGAGUCUUUUAAGUGUGUUUUGAGUUACUUAAGUCAUAAUCUGUUUUCUUUUAGUCUUUUGAGUUAAAUUAAGUUUUAUUUUCGUCCA